ensembl:lncRNA
GAUAAAGAAGUCCAUGGACAAGAGAGAUUUGUGAUAUCAGCAUGAGUGUGGCAAUUUACUUUUGAGAUUGCAAGCACGUGGAAUUUAGGGUGGGAAACAAGUUCAUCAGCCAGUCCUGGGAUAUUCCCCCUGGGAGAAGCUGCCUGGUCUUUAUAAAAGGAGUCUCCAUCACAGGGCUGUCAUUGUCGUGACAGUCAUGUCUUCUUUGAAGCCUCAGAUUCCUUGAGACCCAGGAAGGAUGUCUCACCACCAGCAUCCGCAUCCGCAUCCACAUCCACACUAGCAUCCGCAUCAGCAUCACCAUCAGUGCAAGGAGCCCUGCCAUCCACCUCCAAUAGUGUGCCCACCGAAGUGCCAUGAGCCUUGCCCACCCCAUCCAUGCCCACCUCCAGUGAGCCAGCAGAAAUGCCCUCCUGGGCCGCCAUGCCCACCAUGCGAGCAGAAGUGUCCACCCAAGUGGAAGUAACAGCACCAGAUUUCAUCUGGACCAAGAAACAACAUGAUCCAGGCUCUUCCAUUUCCUCCCUUCGGCCAUGGUGACAGAGUGCAUCUUCCUUAAUCUCCCUCCUGGACUGAGAGCUGACAGAGAAAACGCUUGGUUCCUGAAGCUGACACCAUGUUGGUGGAAGAAGAGCAGCAGGUUCAUCGCUUGAUCUCUCUUUGCCUACUGUGUGUCUGUAUCCAUGUUGCGAAAUCUACCCCAUGAGCAAAUAGUGUGUCUAUUCCUUUGCUUCUCCAAUAAAGCAUAUUCAUAGCCCUUAAUAUUUCUUUCUUUCAUUUUUUUUUGCAGAUAGUAUUUUUUAAUCUCUUCUGUCAGCUAAAAGUAUUCUUCUGAGUGUUCCUUUUCAUUUCCUUUGGAUUAUCAGCAUUAGACUUUUCCUUCACUGAGUUCAGCUUUGCCUGAAAUAUGUCUUUUGGACUGGAUCCAUCAAAGAAUUCCUUCAGUGGUUUAAGACUUGUUUCUAUCUUUGUCUACCUUGAAGACCCUGAAAAGAAUUGAAU